AUACUUGUUUGGCAGGGGAGAUAUCAUGAUCACAAAGGUGGCUCUCUCAGGACAAGGCUUAUCCUUUGCAUUCCUGAUAUUCUGACCCACGCAAUAUCCCCAAACUCGGGAAACUCAACUGCUUACUUUUGUGUAGUGGGGGACUGCUUUCACAUUCUUCCCUA